UCAAAUUUGAAAUCUGGCCUCUCGGGGUCCGAGUUGUAAUUUGUAGAGGAUGUUUCGGGUACCGCCUCGGUUUAAAUUUCUUGGAACAGAAUGUCAAAGAGGGUGAGAAUCCCGUCUUGGACCGGUGGUAGGGCCUAUGUGAAACUCCUUCGACGAGUCGAGUUGUUUGGGAAUGCAGCUCAAAAUGGGUGGUAAAUUUCAUCUAAAGCUAAAUAUUGGCCAGAGACCGAUAGCGCACAAGUAGAGUGAUCGAAAGAUGAAAAGCACUUUGAAAAGAGAGUUAAACAGUAUGUGAAAUUGUUGAAAGGGAAGCGCUUGCAACCAGACUUGAGCGCGGCGGUUCCCCCUUGCUUCUGCUUGGGUUACUCCGCCGUGUCCAGGCCAACAUCGGUUCUGGGGGUCGGUCAAAGGCUCUGGGAAUGUAUCUACCCACGGGUAGACUUAUAGACCAGGGUGUCAUGCGACCUCCCGGGACCGAGGAACGCGCUUCGGCUCGGAUGUUGGCGUAAUGGUUGUCAGCGACCCGUCUUGAAACACGGACCAAGGAGUCUAACAUCUAUGCGAGUGUUUGGGUGUCAAACCCGGAACGCGGAAUGAAAGUGAACGGAGGUAGGAAGCUUCGGCUGCACUAUCGACCGAUCCUGAAGUUUACGGAUGGAUUUGAGUAAGAGCAUAGCUGUUGGGACCCGAAAGAUGGUGAAC
rnacentral:rRNA from 1 species